UCUUAAAAUGAAUAGGAGUCGUCUUUUAGGUUUGGUGCAUGAUAGGAUUUCAUCAUCUUCACCUUGAGGUGGUAAAACUGAAAAGAGGAACAGUCAAAAUUAGGGCUUUUACAACCAAAUACUUUAACUAUCGUCUGAUUGAAUCAAUGCCAUGGCCUCCCACAUCGGUGGUUUGUACGCUAUCCUUUGAGUUUAUAUUGCUUGGCCUUCGAGUAUAGUUCGUCCCUUCGGGGACAUCCGAUAAAAUUGGAACGAUACAGAGAAGAUUAGCAUGGCCCCUGCGCAAGGAUGACACGCACAAAUCGAGAAAUGGUCCAAAUUUUUUUUUUUGCCCUAAUUUGCUCGAUCGAUUGCUCUUCAAAUUCUUUUAUGUCUGGAUUUUGAGUUGAUUUCUGACUCAACAACUUCAAAGAAAUACCGCUAAUGGAAAUCCGCUUCAACUUCGUGCCAUUGUUUGCCCUAUCUCGCUAAAACGGCUUCCAAAUUUUUUGUUUAGGGAAUUGUUUCUCCGAUUCACAAGCUACGACAAGCCAAGUUUUUCAUUUUGACCCAUUGGUGGUGCAAUUUUAAGUCUCAUUUGCUGGACAAGCUUUCCAUGGAUUGGAUGUGUUUGAUAAGGAGGGCAUUCAUGUCUUUUACACAUUUUCUUGAAUGGAACAAAAAAUGCAACUUUUGUCCAAUUAACAUCAGUCCUAGUUCUAGACCCACCAAAUGUAGUACAAUAUGUUUUGUCCUCUCUUGUCUUGCAUUACAAAGCAUAUAAUCGAGGAAGACAAUGACGAUUUUUGAUAGUUUCAUUUCUCUCCUGUUAUGACAUUGUGGUUUCAGUAUCUUUCUUAUUAAGAGUUUAAGACAUUGUACUAUAGAAAAUGUAUCCAGUUAUGGCAUUGUACUUUCAGAUUUUUUUUCAUUGUUAGGAGUUAGGAGGUUGGACUUUGAAAAAUCUAACUUUAUAGUAAUGGAAAGUGUUGUAGUUGAAUAA